UACAGAGGUCUCAAGCGUUGUUCGGAUUCAUUGGGCGUAAAGGGUGCGUAGGCGGCGGUGUAAGUCGGAUGUGAAAUCCCGAGGCUCAACCUCGGAACUGCAUUCGAUACUGCAUCGCUAGAGUACUGGAGAGGAGAUUGGAAUUUACGGUGUAGCAGUGAAAUGCGUAGAUAUCGUAAGGAAGACCAGUGGCGAAGGCGAAUCUCUGGACAGUUACUGACGCUGAGGCACGAAGGCUAGGGGAGCAAACGGG
rnacentral:rRNA from 1 species